rnacentral:sRNA from 1 species
GGGGGAGGAGCAUCGCUUGUCAUGAGCUGGUUCCCGGGGCGGGGGCGGAGGCGGAGGCGCUUUGAAAGCAGUCAUUGUGUGGCACUGGACGGGGAAUCAAGAGACCCGGUUUCUAAUCCCUGCUCUGUCACUAACAAGCUGCGUGAUCUUCGGAAAAAAGUAAUCCUCUUGGAAAGCUGGAAACAUAGUCCAGUAAGAUUCCCAUUGCUCAAAAAAAUUUUGGCAUUGAAUUUUUGUAAUUACCUUCAGAAUUCGCAGCACAUUUUUUGAAUAUUUUUAAUGGUAGUUAAUUCUCAUCUUCUUAAGUUGGAUUUCAUUUCUGCAAGCUGCUAACAGGUCUUUAUAACCAAGACAAGUGAAUGAAGUGGGUGUUAAAGUCACUAUUUGGGAUAAAAAAUGAAGUGUGAUUAUUUUCAUAUUUUUAGAUUUUUCUUAUAGUGUGUGGUUUAUAGAAAGACUCUAGGAAUAUUCUGUGCUGUGGU